rnacentral:rRNA from 1 species
AGAGUUUGAUCCUGGCUCAGGACAAACGCUGGCGGAAUGUAUUAGGCAUGCAAGUCGUACGAACCUUCGGGUUAGUGGCGAACGGGUGAGUAACACGUGGGUAACCUGCCUCGUAGUGGGGAAUAACUCGCCGAAAGGCGAGCUAAUACCGCAUAACACCCUCGGUGAGAAUCCGAGUGGUAAAAGCUCCGGCGCUACGAGAGGGGCCCGCGGCCGAUUAGCUUGUUGGUGGGGUAACGGCCUACCAAGGCGACGAUCGGUAGCUGGUCUGAGAGGAUGGUCAGCCACACGGGGACUGAGAUACGGCCCCGACUCCUACGGGAGGCAGCAGCUAAGAAUCUUGCGCAAUGGGCGAAAGCCUGACGCAGCAAUUCCGCGUGGGGGACGAAGGCCCUCGGGUCGUAAACCCCUUUUGCGAGGGAAGAAGUUCUGACGGUACCUCGCGA